UAAAAACUCUUGAAGUGAAGGCAUUUAUGAUAAUACUCCCAAUGGCUGAGACCCAUGUGUAACUGUAUUCCACAUCGCAGCCCAUUCGUGGCAGAGAAUGACGCAUUAGCAAAGAUGAUUUCUUUCUCAACCUUGAGACCGCCGAGCCCGAGCCUUCGUCUAGCACCGCUGUCCUCUUCACUUGCCCGACCUCAGCCCAAUCUUAAAUCGCUCCCUUUACCCACGACCCAAGCCUGUUCUGUCUCAGACGACAAGCCUCAGUCUCGGAAGCUGAAGGGAAGCUCUCGGCUUAACCGGUGGUCCAGGGCUCGAGCAAUCCGCUCUGGCCAUUUUUUAGACCGCUCAGGUCACCGGGCUCAGGUGGCCGAGCUCAAUCCCCCACCUCAACAAUCCAGAGAAA
rnacentral:lncRNA from 1 species